UCGAACGGCGGGCGAGUAGGCGAGGUCAGACGGGGGGAGGAAGCGUUGGUCGGAAUCGCUGGGCGUAAAGGGCGUGUAGGCGGUCAGGGAAGUUAGAUGUGAAAUGCCCCGGCUCACCCGGGGACCGGCAUCUCAUACUGCUUGGCUUGAGGACGGGAGAGGAUGUGGGAAUUCCUGGUGUAGCGGUGAAAUGCGUAGAUAUCAGGAGGAACACCGGUGGCGAAGGCGCACAUCUGGCCCGAUACUGACGCUGAGGCGCGAAAGCUAGGGGAGCAAACGGGAUUAGAUACCCCUGUAGUC
rnacentral:rRNA from 1 species